UUUCCGUAGGUGAACCUGCGGAUGGAUCAUUACAGAGUUCAUGCCCUCACGGGUAGAUCUCCCACCCUUGAAUAUUUAUACCUUAGUUGCUUUGGCAGGCCGUGGAAACACCAUGGGCUCCGGCUUAUGCGUGCCUGCCAGAGGAAACAAACUCUGUUUUUAGUGAUGUCUGAGUACUAUAUAAUAGUUAAAACUUUCAACAACGGAUCUCUUGGUUCUG
rnacentral:misc_RNA from 1 species